UACGUAGGGUGCAAGCGUUGUCCGGAAUUAUUGGGCGUAAAGAGCUCGUAGGCGGUUUGUCGCGUCGGGAGUGAGAUCCACUGGCUUAACUGGUGGCUUGCUUUCGAUACGGGCAGACUGGAGGUAUGCAGGGGAGAACGGAAUUCCUGGUGUAGCGGUGAAAUGCGCAGAUAUCAGGAGGAACACCGGUGGCGAAGGCGGUUCUCUGGGCAUGUCCUGACGCUGAGGAGCGAAAGUGUGGGGAGCGAACAGG
rnacentral:rRNA from 1 species